UACGUAGGGGGCAAGCGUUAUCCGGAUUUACUGGGUGUAAAGGGAGCGUAGACGGUUGUAUAAGUCUGGAGUGAAAGCCCGGGGCCCAACCCCGGGACUGCUUUGGAAACUGUGUAACUUGAGUACAGGAGGGGCAGGCGGAAUUCCUGGUGUAGCGGUGAAAUGCGUAGAUAUCAGGAGGAACACCGGCGGCGAAGGCGGCCUGCUGGACUGAAACUGACGUUGAGGCUCGAAAGCGUGGGGAGCAAACAGG
rnacentral:rRNA from 1 species